UUUCACACAUAAGUCGCUCCCGAGUAUAAGUCGCACUCCUGGCCAAACUAUGGAAAAAAACUGGGACUUAUAGUCCGAAAAAUAUGGUACUUAAAGCAUGUCUUUAUAUUUGCAUAUAACGAGAAAAGGACUCCAACUUAAGGUGAGGUAGUGGAAACAAAUAUGGAAUAAAAAUAAAUCACACAAGUAGUAAUAAAGAUAACAAAUAAGAAUUGAACCUAUUGUACAAGAAAGGUAAUAUUGCACAGUAGGGUAUUAGGGUAGGAUAUUGUAUGGGGUGAAUUAUUUAUUACAAGUUUGAGUCAAAGAUGGUGACAGCUCUGGGAAAGAAGCGGUCUCUGAGCCUGAUGGAGGUUUUAGAGCUGAUUUUGCUAGUAUUUAUAAAGGAAAAGCAUACGUGUUCUUGUCUCGCAUAAGGAUUGUGGGAAUGAUUGGCAAAAUCCCCCCCAAAAAACAUAAGUGCCGUUUCCCUCGAAGCACAUCUUUAAAAUCUGACAAGAGAACAGAUUUCCAUUUGAACUCAUGUUUGCUGUUAUCCCAUGAAUGUGGAUUUACAGGAUAAUACUAUCCAUCAGCCUCCAAGGCAUGUCCGGGGUGCAGGAAGUGCACAGACAGGCUAGACAAGACGUCUUAAAAGACUCACAGCUGACUAAAAGCCACGCUGGGAAAGUCUACGGAAGAAUCUUGGGAACGCCAAACAACACAAUGAUUGCAGGAGACGACUGCUUUGGAGACUAUUUGCGAAGAGUACAUCCAUGGCGCUCGCCAGCAUGACCACAGCACAGCAGAGGUGGCCCCUCACUCUUCAAAGCACAAACAUGCAGACCUAUGGCUGGCCUCUCCCACUUCCUCCUCCCUUCACUCCCCCUCCUCUAUGCUUUUCUCCACAGUUCUCGGCCGUUGUUAAUGUGUGCAUUUACUUUUUUAAAUGUUUAUUAUUGUUGCAAUACGGUUGUUGAAGUAAAGGAUGUUUGU